rnacentral:sRNA from 1 species
UGACGUCGGUGAGGGCGCAGUUGCCCUGC